rnacentral:rRNA from 1 species
UGGGGAAUAUUGCACAAUGGACGGAAGUCUGAUGCAGCAACGCCGCGUGCGGGAUGACGGCCUUCGGGUUGUAAACCGCUUUUUCUCAUGACGAAGUUUUUUGACGGUAGUGGGGGAAGAAGCACCGGCUAACUACGUGCCAGCAGCCGCGGUGAUACGUAGGGUGCGAGCGUUGUCCGGAAUUAUUGGGCGUAAAGAGCUUGUAGGCGGUUUGUCGCGUCGAUAGUGCAAACUCAGUGCUUAACGCUGAGCCUGCUGUUGAUACGUGCAGACUAGAGGAAGGUAGGGGAGAAUGGAAUUCCCGGUGGAGCGGUGGAAUGCGCAGAUAUCGGGAGGAACACCGGUGGCGAAGGCGGUUCUCUGGGCCUUUCCUGACGCUGAGAAGCGAAAGCGUGGGGAGCGAACAGG